rnacentral:rRNA from 1 species
UCUCUGUCGUGUGAGGAGUGAAAGUUGGCUCUCCCCUAAGGGACCUAUGGAACUAACCCUCAUUCCAAGGACAAGAAUUCUGCGAUCAGGGCAGAUCAGAGUUAGGGGGCUUCCCUGUGCAAGUCUGUGCCAGCACUAGCGGUCAUACAGACGGGGUUCAACUCUCGCUGUCAACAGUCUGUGUAAUUUUCCUUUCUAUUUUCUCUCCUCAGUUUCAGGUGAAAUUGAUCUGUGGGGAAAAGUUAGCAGCACAGAGCUCAAUCCUUCCAGUAAAACUGGAUUAGAUACCCAGGUAUUGAGGACCUAACCCAAUGUUGGCAUACUAAGGAUUAAUCGGAAACGCAACACACGUGGCGGUCCCUUACACCCCCCUAGAGGGGCAUGCCUGUAAAAUGAAACUGCACAAACAAGUUUUCUGCUUUAAGAAUAAUCAUCUUGCACACCGCUGUCUGAAAGGGAGGGGGGAACCCUCGCCCUACCCCCCUAUGAAGGGAGUAAGGCAAGUAAAGGUGCAGACAAUAGAGUAGGAAAGGUGUGCUCCAGUACGUGGACCGUGUCAGUGGGAAGGCAUGGGAAAGAGAAUCUAGAAGUAAGAAGGGGAGAUGAAACCCGUCUGAAUAGGGCUCUUCGGGACGUACAAAUUGCCCGUCACUCCAGAAGAGGAGAAGUCGUAACACAGUUGGCCUACUGGAAAGUGGGCCAGGAUCCUUUCUAAUCA